GAUGAACGCUGGCGGCGUGCCUAAUACAUGCAAGUCGAGCGAACGGACGAGAAGCUUGCUUCUCUGAUGUUAGCGGCUGACGGGUGAGUAACACGUGGAUAACCUACCUAUAAGACUGGGAUAACUUCGGGAAACCGGAUCUAAUACCGGAUAAUAUUUUGAACCGCAUGGUUCAAAAGUGAAAGACGGUCUUGCCGUCACUUAUAGAUGGAGCCGCGCUGCAUUAGCUAGUUGGUAAGGUAACGGCUUACCAAGGCAACGAUGCAUAGCCGACCUGAGAGGGUGAUCGGCCACACUGGAACUGAGACACGGUCCAGACUCCUACGGGAGGCAGCAGUAGGGAAUAUUCCGCAAUGGGCGAAAGCCUGACGGAGCAACGCCGCGUGAGUGAUGAAGGUCUUCGGAUCGUAAAACUCUGUUAUUAGGGAAGAACAUAUGUGUAAGUAACUGUGCACAUCUUGACGGUACCUAAACAGAAAGCCACGGCUAACUACGUG
rnacentral:rRNA from 1 species